rnacentral:misc_RNA from 1 species
GGAAGUAAAAGUCGUAAAAGGUUUCCGUAGGUGAACCUGCGGAAGGAUCAUUAUUGUAUAACCGAGGUGCGAGGGCUGUCGCUGACCCGAAAGGUCGUGCACGCCCGAGUGCCCUCACACACAUCCAUCUCACCCCUAUGUGCACCACCGCGUGGGUCCCCCUUUGGCUUGUUCGGAGGGGGGCUUACGUUUUCACACAAACUUUGUAUGCAGUGUAGAAUGUAUUUUUUGUUUUUGCGAUCACGCAAUCAAUACAACUCUCAACAACGGAUCUCUUGGCUCUC